rnacentral:rRNA from 1 species
CCAUGGCAGUCGAGCGGAUGAAAGGAGCUUGCUCCUGGAUUCAGCGGCGGACGGGUGAGUAAUGCCUAGGAAUCUGCCUGGUAGUGGGGGACAACGUUUCGAAAGGAACGCUAAUACCGCAUACGUCCUACGGGAGAAAGCAGGGGACCUUCGGGCCUUGCGCUAUCAGAUGAGCCUAGGUCGGAUUAGCUAGUUGGUGAGGUAAUGGCUCACCAAGGCGACGAUCCGUAACUGGUCUGAGAGGAUGAUCAGUCACACUGGAACUGAGACACGGUCCAGACUCCUACGGGAGGCAGCAGUGGGGAAUAUUGGACAAUGGGCGAAAGCCUGAUCCAGCCAUGCCGCGUGUGUGAAGAAGGUCUUCGGAUUGUAAAGCACUUUAAGUUGGGAGGAAGGGCAGUAAAUUAAUACUUUGCUGUUUUGACGUUACCGACAGAAUAAGCACCGGCUAACUCUGUGCCAGCAGCCGCGGUAAUACAGAGGGUGCAAGCGUUAAUCGGAAUUACUGGGCGUAAAGCGCGCGUAGGUGGUUCGUUAAGUUGAAUGUGAAAUCCCCGGGCUCAACCUGGGAACUGCAUCCAAAACUGGCGAGCUAGAGUAUGGUAGAGGGUGGUGG